CCUACGGGACGCAGCAGUAGGGACUAUUGCACAAUGGGGGCAACCCUGAUGCAGCGACGCCGCGUGAGUGAAGCAGUAUUUCGUUAUGUAAAGCUCUAUCAGCAGGGAAGAACCUGACGGUACCUGCUUAAGAAGCCCCGGCUCACUACGUGCCAGCAGCCUCGGGAAUACGUAGUGGGCACGCGUUAUCCGGAUUUACUGGGUGUAAAGGGCGCGUAGACGGCAGCAACAGUCUGGAGUGAAAUGCCGGGGCUGAACCCCGGAACUGCUUUGGAAACUGUGCAGCUAGAGUGCAGGAGAGGGAAGUGGAAUGCCUGGUGUAGCGGUGAAAUGCGUAGAUAUCAGGAGGAACAUCGGUGGCGUAAGCGCUUUACUGGGCCGUAAUUGACACUGAGGAACGAAAGCCGGGGUAGCAAAUGGGAUUAGAUACCCGUGUAGUC
rnacentral:rRNA from 1 species